rnacentral:rRNA from 1 species
AGAGUUUGAUCCUGGCUCAGAACGAACGCUGGCGGCAGGCUUAACACAUGCAAGUCGAACGCCCCGCAAGGGGAGUGGCAGACGGGUGAGUAACGCGUGGGAAUCUACCCAGUUCUACGGAACAACUGAGGGAAACUUCAGCUAAUACCGUAUACGCCUCAAGGGGGAAAGAUUUAUCGGAAUUGGAUGAGCCCGCGUUGGAUUAGCUAGUUGGUGAGGUAAUGGCCCACCAAGGCGACGAUCCAUAGCUGGUCUGAGAGGAUGAUCAGCCACACUGGGACUGAGACACGGCCCAGACUCCUACGGGAGGCAGCAGUGGGGAAUAUUGGACAAUGGGCGAAAGCCUGAUCCAGCCAUGCCGCGUGAGUGAUGAAGGCCUUAGGGUUGUAAAGCUCUUUCAGUAGGGAAGAUAAUGACGGUACCUACAGAAGAAGCCCCGGCUAACUUCGUGCCAGCCGCCGCGGUAAUAC